GACGAACGCUGGCGGCGUGCUUAACACAUGCAAGUCGAACGGUAAGGCCUUUCGGGGUCAUCCGAGUGGCGAACGGGUGAGUAACACGUGAGCAACCCGCCCUUGACUUCGGAAUACCAGCUGGAAACAGCUGCUAAUACCGGAUAUGACCCUGGUCCUCCUGGACUGGGGUGGAAAGCUCCGGCGGUCAGGGAUGGGCUCGCGGCCUAUCAGCUUGUUGGUGAGGUAAUGGCUCACCAAGGCUUCGACGGGUAGCCGGCCGGAGAGGGCGACCGGCCACCCUGGGACGGAGAGCCGGCCCGGCCCCCUCGGGGGGGAGGAGGGGGGAAAUAUGGCACAUGGGGCGCAGGCCGGAUGCAGAACGGCCGCGGGGGGGAUGCCGGCCUGGGGUUUGAAACCGGCUUGCAGGGGGGACAAGGCCAGAGGUGAGGUUCCCAAAAGAAGAGGGCCCGGCUAAUUACGGC
rnacentral:rRNA from 1 species